rnacentral:lncRNA from 1 species
ACAGUGUUUGGGGAUUUGAAAUAAUGUCUUUAUAUCAUCAGUGGGAUUAUAUUUGAAAGUAUACCAUUAAAAAUUAUGGGUAUUUCGUUUUCGUCAUUCUCCCUAUAAUCUUUGCUAAAACAAUGGUAUGAUAAAGAAAGUGAAGAGGAUAAAUAUUCUUGUUUGUGCUUUUUGAAAUAAAUGAGAAAAGGUGAGUGAAUACGAAAGGAAUCAUUCAAAACAUGCAUGCUCAUUUCAUUAAUCAAUAC